CUACACAUGUGUUUUACAAUCUAUUUUUAGAAGAUCUAGCUCGUCCAGCAGCUCGGGUGGCGAAGUCUCUUCAAAUCUUUAGGCCGCUGUGUCGUGCUAGAUCUAUAUCAAAUGAAAAGAAAGAAAACAAAAUAUUC
rnacentral:precursor_RNA from 15 species